rnacentral:rRNA from 1 species
AGUUUGUGAAAAUGGUGGAACAUGUGGUUUAAUGCGAUAAUCCACGCAAAAUCUUACCAAUAUUCAAGGUUAAAUUAAAAUAAACUAGUAAUAUAGUAUUAUAUAAAUUUAACUUCGGUACUGCAUGGCUGUCGUCAGUUCGUGUUGUGAAAUGUUAAAUUAAGUUUUAUUAACGAACGCAACCUAAAUUAUAUUUUAAUUUAUAUUUGCAUGCAUUUUGCUAAUAUAUAUUUUAAUAUAUUUUUAACUAAAUAUUUAUUUAGUUUUAAGGUUAUUAGCUGAAGUCAAGUCCUUAUGGUCUUUAUAUAUUGGGCUACACACGUGUUACAAUGGUAAAAACAAAAAGUUACAAAUAUGUGAAUAAGCGUAAAUCUUAAAAAAUUGCCAAAGUACAGAUUAUUUUAUGUAACUCUAAAAUAUGAAGUGGAAAUCGUUAGUAAUUAUAGGUUAGUAUACUAUAGUGAACUAUAAGUCAAAUUUUGCACACACUGCCCAUCACGCUCGGAAAAUUUUAUAAAAUUGAAAAUAAAAAAAAAUAGAAAAUUUAAUUUUUAUAUUAAAAUGUUAGUUUUUUUUAUUGUAACUUUAUGAAGUAAUUU